rnacentral:rRNA from 1 species
UACGUAGGAGGCAAGCGUUGUCCGGAAUUACUGGGCGUAAAGCGCGUGUAGGUGGUGGGACAAGUCUGCUGUGAAAGCGCCUGGCUUAACCGGGCGAGGUCGGCGGAAACUGUCCGACUCGAGGACGGUAGAGGGGGGUGGAAUUCCCGGUGUAGUGGUGAAAUGCGUAGAGAUCGGGAGGAACACCUGUGGCGAAGGCGGCCCCCUGGGCCGGGCCUGACACUGAGACGCGAAGGCGUGGGGAGCGAACGGG